rnacentral:lncRNA from 1 species
GUCCAAUAACUUCCUUUGGGCGCCUUGCUCUGCUGUGCUCAAAUGACUGACCCCACGUUUCUUUAGGUGCACACGAGCUGUCUGUCACCUGUCUGCCAUGUUGUGAGCUGCGUGAGUGAGUUAAAGGGACUGCUGCUCCUUAGUGGGGAGAAUGGGCGGCUGUGAGGCUGUGGGGCGGGGGCUGGGCCGCUGGGAGCAAAGGCGCGGAAAUCACACCAGCCAAUCUCGAUCGAGGCUUUCUUGAGUCAUGGUGAUGUGUGAGGUGCUGUGUGGGUAUUUUGGGACACACAAAAUGUUGAGAUUCAAUUGGUAAGGACCUGGUCUCACUCUCAAGACAGUGGGGAGAAAAAGUAAAACAUGAUGUAAAGGAGGGCUUGGGGAAGUACUAUCCAGAAAGUCACAAGGUGGGGGCUGCACUUGAUUUCUGUCAGUGUGACACAGAAACAUGACACUGCCUCUUCUGUUUCCUUCAUGGAUGCCUCACCUUCUACACCAGUCUCGAACAUUUCACCUGCCUGCCUCCUCCAUGCAGCCUCUCCUCCAUGCAGCUUCAUAAGAUGACCUUGCCUCCCUCCAGAGUGAACAGACAUCAGGCAAUGCCACCUGACCCCUCCCUGGCGUCCUCCCAACCUGUCCUCCUUCCCUCCUACUAGGGGCAACUUGGCCACCUGCCUUUGCAGUGACCUUCCCUUAUGGAUGUCUCUGCAAAAUUCUCUCUUUUUUGACACUUUUAUCUAGACCGGAAGAGUUCAAUCUCAAAAUACCUCUCCCUGCACCCUGGUUUUCCAUCACCCCAAACUCCAUUUCUUUCCUCCCAGUCACACCAAAUUUCUGAAGUAGCCCACCCGUGCUAGCCGUCCCUUGCUCCUACACACUCCUUAGUGCCCCCUCAUGGGGCUUCUGCCCCUAAGUCCCUGGACUGACCACCCAGUCCGAAGGGGUUUCUGGUCCUCACCAAUCUGGUGGCUCCUGGCUCUUUCUGAGACACUGAGAUCCCCCUGCCCCCACCUCAUUCUUGCUGCUUCCUAGACGCAGGUGGUCCUCAGGCUUCUCCAGGCUCUAACCUUCUCUUGGCAUUGGCUUUUCCAGGCUGUACAUUCUGUACUGGUGCCUUCUGCAUCCUCAUCUCAUGCUCGGUCUCUCUCUUCAGCCUCAGGCCCACCUGUCUUCUCGAGAGACAUUGCAUUUUGCGUGUCCCACAAAUAUCUCAAACAUGUCCCCAAACGAACUCAUCCAUUCUGAAGCUGCCUGGCUUAACGAAUGGUGCCAUUGUCUCCCCAGAAGCCUAGAAAGAAAUGUGGGAGCCUCAGUCCAUGACCAUGCCCAAUGCUCCCCACCGACCCUCGUCUGAGCUCUGGAUGUUUCUGUCCGAGGUUGCCACCCCAGCAGCCUAGAAAGAAACAUGGGAUCCUCUCUCCAUGACUAUGACCAUGCCCAAGGCUCCCUGCUGUCCCUGGCCCAAGCUCUGGAUGUCUCUGUCUGAGACUGCUUACUCCCAGCUGGUCUCCCUGUGUUCACCAUGUCCACCUUUAACCCAUUGUCCACACCGAAGAUCCAACCGUAAACCUGAUCCAAUCCUGUUUAAACUCUUGCGUGUUUCCCAUUGUCCUUGCUGGAAUCCCGAGUCCUAAAGGCAGGGCUCAGGCCCCUCUUGGUCUGGUUCCUGUUUGUGUUUCUAUCCUUCUGGUCCUUCCUCUCCUCCCAGACCUCAGUUGCCUCCUCCACACUCUUCAUAUUCUAAUCGUACAAAUACUUUGUUUUUGGCUUUCUGAUUCCUCAAGGUGUUCUGUGUGUUUUUCCUUCUUCCUCCUCACUUUCUCUGGCUAUUUUCUGCCCAGCCCUUUGGCUCUUGGCUGGUACAGCUCUCCCUCAGUAACCUUCUUUCCCAUCCUAGCCAAGGCAGGGCUCCAGGUUCACACUUCUGUAGCACCCUCACUUUCUAUAGCAUAGACCCCGUGACACUGUGUUGAAGCUGAUUUUACAUUAUAUAUAGCCCUGCUGGUCUAUAGCUUUGAGAAGAUUUGGAUCCUCAGGGCUUGGUCAGAGUAUGAGCCAUAGUAAACUCUCAAUGAAUGCUAGUUGAAUGAGCAAAUAAGUGUAUUCAGAGGUACUGGAGUGCCAAGCUUUGUAUAUAUGCACGCACUCAGAUAUACAUAUGGAUGCUCCUGGACUCUACUUACACAUAUAUGUAUAUGUGUAUAUACAUGUAUAUAAAUAUAUAUGUUAAAUAUGUAUAUAUGGUCCAUGUAUAUGUGUGUACAUAUAUAUGUAUAUACAUAUUUAAACCACAUUAUUGAGGUAUGAUUGAUAUGUCAAAAGCUGCACAUAUUUAAUGUAUACAACUUGAUGAGUUUGGGGCUAUGUAUACACCUGUGAAACCAUCACUGCCAUCAAGGUCAUAAACAUUCAAUGCUUUUAAGAGCAGGGCUUCCCAGAAUUAGGAAUUUCAUAGACCAUUAAAAUUGCAGGAAAAAUGUAAACUACAUUCAGGUCGCCAUCUUUACAUUUUCUAAGUGAAGAUGUUGAUUAAAAUAAUGUUUGUUUUUUUCAUUAUAUUAGAAUAAAAAAAUUAGCUUAAGUAAAAACUCCCAGAUUGUCAUUAAUCAUAAUAUUUUUCCUCUUUUCCAAGCCUACUGAAAAUCUCCUUGCAGUACCGGCCUACAAAUGUACCGUUAGGAAGCUGUUCUCUUCAAGAGCAGGCUUGGAAGCUAGAGAGGACUGAGAUUGCAGCUGUGGUCUGAAGGGCUGUGUGUGAACGGGGGAGCCAGAGAGACUUGGAUCUAUCAGUCAGGGUUUUCUAGAGAAGCAGAACCAAUAAGAAGGAAAGAACAAGAGUUAUGAUGAGGAAUUGGCUCACAUGAUUAUGGAGGCUGAUGAGUCCCAAGAUCCGUGGGAUGAGUUGGGGAGCUGGGGGCCCGUGAGAGCCAAUGGUGCAGUGCAGCAAGGUGCUACGGACCCCGGCAGACAGGUGUGGAUGAUAUUCUUUGCCAACUGCCUUUGGACAACCUCAGAUUUCACCACGGUCAACAAAUAGAGUUACCUCUGACUUCAGUUUGGAAAUUUUUUUUUUUUUG